AUACCCCCGCGGGUUUUUAAUCGGCUGCGUUGAAUGAACGUACCUAAGGGUUUCCGCAAAUAAACGGGGCGUGACUUUAGCCGGUGUCAUCGGAAAGGGUGGAGCGAUCGGGAAGGGAUGAUGACCACACCGUGUUGUACGGGUACUUGGUAGCCUAUAUAUAAGUCACAGAGCAUCAACCGAUCAUUGACAGUUUAUUGCCGAAAUCGCGACCUGCUCAAAAGAGGAACUCGCUCCUGUCUAAAACUACAACAUUUACACAGCACACUCCUUUGGGCUUCACUCAUUCGCAUCUUCAAGUUCCUAAGCUGUUUAAAAAUGAUGUCGUCUAGCUGCACAUCUAAGACUACUGACUACUACUAUCAAAUGAGACAAAAGAACAACGAGGCAGCUCGUAACAGCCGAUUCAAGAAGAAGGUGGCCGAAAUUGAAAUAUCCGCUCAAAAACGAAAACUGGAGGUGACUUAUGUUCAGCUAAAAAAAGAAAUCAAACGCAUACAAGUGGUAAAAGCGUCGUAAAAAACAUCUAUGGCAAACAUGUUCUUUGAUUUUAUUUCGUGAUAAUCAAAACAUUCCGAAGAAACAAAAUUCCUGCCAAUCUUGUUAAUGGUGCACCUUUGGUUCUGUCGAAUUUCUAGUCAAACUAUUACAGUGACGCAUAAUUUCGUGAUAUCAACAUAUAUCUACACAUUCAUUA